rnacentral:rRNA from 1 species
UGAGUAACACGUAUCCAACCUGCCGUCUACUCUUGGACAGCCUUCUGAAAGGAAGAUUAAUACAAGAUGGCAUCAUGAGUCCGCAUGUUCACAUGAUUAAAGGUAUUCCGGUAGACGAUGGGGAUGCGUUCCAUUAGAUAGUAGGCGGGGUAGCGGCCCACCUAGUCUUCGAUGGAUAGGGGUUCUGAGAGGAAGGUCCCCCACAUUGGAACUGAGACACGGUCCAAACUCCUACGGGAGGCAGCAGUGAGGAAUAUUGGUCAAUGGGCGAGAGCCUGAACCAGCCAAGUAGCGUGAAGGAUGACUGCCCUAUGGGUUGUAAACUUCUUUUAUAAAGGAAUAAAGUCGGGUAUGGAUACCCGUUUGCAUGUACUUUAUGAAUAAGGAUCGGCUAACUCCGUGCCAGCAGCCGCGGUAAUACGGAGGAUCCGAGCGUUAUCCGGAUUUAUUGGGUUUAAAGGGAGCGUAGAUGGAUGUUUAAGUCAGUUGUGAAAGUUUGCGGCUCAACCGUAAAAUUGCAGUUGAUACUGGAUAUCUUGAGUGCAGUUGAGGCAGGCGGAAUUCGUGGUGUAGCGGUGAAAUGCUUAGAUAUCACGAAGAACUCCGAUUGCGAAGGCAGCCUGCUAAGCUGCAACUGACAUUGAGGCUCGAAAGUGUGGGUAUCAAACAGGAUUAGAUACCCUGGUAGUCCACACGGUAAACGAUGAAUACUCGCUGUUUGCGAUAUACUGCAAGCGGCCAAGCGAAAGCGUUAAGUA